GAAAUUCAACUAUAGCUUAGCCAGCAGAGCAUGAGACUCUUCAUCUCAGGGUCGUGGGUUUGAGGCCCACGAUGGACA